rnacentral:misc_RNA from 1 species
UUGCAUUUUGCUCUCGUUGAACUCUGAGACGACCUAGGGUUUUGCUUUCUUGGGAGAGAGAAGAAGCAAGAAGAUGAUCGAGGUGGUGCUGAAUGAUCGGUUGGGGAAGAAGGUGAGAGUGAAGUGCAACGAAGACGACACCAUCGGCGACUUGAAGAAGCUCGUGGCUGCCCAGACUGGGACUAGAGCUGAGAAGAUUCGGAUUCAGAAAUGGUACAAUAUCUACAAGGAUCAUAUUACUCUCAAGGAUUACGAAAUCCACGACGGCAUGGGCCUUGAACUCUACUACAAUUAGUUAAUGCAGGCAUGGAAAGCCAUAUGCUGUGCUUUGCUACCACUCUCUUAGGCUCAAUGUUGUCGUAUGGCGCUGCCUGUGUAAUUUGUAACAUAAGACACAUAUAUUGAUGACUGUUUCAGAAUAAAACUGGGUUUGGGACUUCCAUGUAAUACAUACACAAUCAAACUGCAUGUUCGGUGAUAUCAUAUGUUGUGGUAACUUCAAUUAACUUUAUGCUUUAA